UACCAUGCAAGUCGACGGUGAAGCAGAGCUUGCUCUGUGGAUCAGUGGCGAACGGGUGAGUAACACGUGAGCAAUCUGCCCCUGACUCUGGGAUAAGCGCUGGAAACGGCGUCUAAUACCGGAUACGAGCUGCGACCGCAUGGUCAGUAGCUGGAAAGAAUUUCGGUCAGGGAUGAGCUCGCGGCCUAUCAGCUUGUUGGUGAGGUAAUGGCUCACCAAGGCGUCGACGGGUAGCCGGCCUGAGAGGGUGACCGGCCACACUGGGACUGAGACACGGCCCAGACUCCUACGGGAGGCAGCAGUGGGGAAUAUUGCACAAUGGGCGCAAGCCUGAUGCAGCAACGCCGCGUGAGGGAUGACGGCCUUCGGGUUGUAAACCUCUUUUAGCAGGGAAGAAGCGAAAGUGACGGUACCUGCAGAAAAAGCGCCGGCUAACUACGUGCCAGCAGCCGCGGUAAUACGUAGGGCGCAAGCGUUAUCCGGAAUUAUUGGGCGUAAAGAGCUCGUAGGCGGUCUGUCGCGUCUGCUGUGAAAACCCGAGGCUCAACCUCGGGCCUGCAGUGGGUACGGGCAGACUAGAGUGCGGUAGGGGAGAUUGGAAUUCCUGGUGUAGCGGUGGAAUGCGCAGAUAUCAGGAGGAACACCGAUGGCGAANGCAGAUCUCUGGGCCGUAACUGACGCUGANGAGCGAAAGGGUGGGGAGCAAACAGGCUUAGAUACCCUGGUAGUCCACCCCGUAAACGUUGGGAACUAGUUGUGGGGUCCAUUCCACGGAUUCCGUGACGCAGCUAACGCAUUAAGUUCCCCGCCUGGGGAGUACGGCCGCAAGGCUAAAACUCAAAGGAAUUGACGGGGACCCGCACAAGCGGCGGAGCAUGCGGAUUAAUUCGAUGCAACGCGAAGAACCUUACCAAGGCUUGACAUAUAGAGGAAACGUCUGGAAACAGUCGCCCCGCAAGGUCUCUAUACAGGUGGUGCAUGGUUGUCGUCAGCUCGUGUCGUGAGAUGUUGGGUUAAGUCCCGCAACGAGCGCAACCCUCGUUCUAUGUUGCCAGCACGUAAUGGUGGGAACUCAUGGGAUACUGCCGGGGUCAACUCGGAGGAAGGUGGGGAUGACGUCAAAUCAUCAUGCCCCUUAUGUCUUGGGCUUCACGCAUGCUACAAUGGCCGGUACAAAGGGCUGCAAUACCGUGAGGUGGAGCGAAUCCCAAAAAGCCGGUCCCAGUUCGGAUUGAGGUCUGCAACUCGACCUCAUGAAGUCGGAGUCGCUAGUAAUCGCAGAUCAGCAACGCUGCGGUGAAUACGUUCCCGGGUCUUGUACACACCGCCCGUCAAGUCAUGAAAGUCGGUAACACCUGAAGCCGGUGGCCCAACCCUUGUGGAGGAGCCGUCGAAG
rnacentral:rRNA from 1 species